GAUGAACGCUGGCGGCGUGCCUAAUACAUGCAAGUCGAGCGAACGGACGAGAAGCUUGCUUCUCUGAUGUUAGCGGCGGACGGGUGAGUAACACGUGGAUAACCUACCUAUAAGACUGGGAUAACUUCGGGAAACCGGAGCUAAUACCGGAUAAUAUUUUGAACCGCAUGGUUCAAAAGUGAAAGACGGUCUUGCUGUCACUUAUAGAUGGAUCCGCGCUGCAUUAGCUAGUUGGUAAGGUAACGGCUUACCAAGGCAACGAUGCAUAGCCGACCUGAGAGGGUGAUCGGCCACACUGGAACUUAGACACGGUCCAGACUCCUACGGGAGGCAGCAGUAGGGAAUCUUCCGCAAUGGGCGAAAGCCUGACGGAGCAACGCCGCGUGAGAGAUGAAGGUCUUCGGAUCGUAAAACUCUGUUAUUAGGGAAGAACAUAUGUGUAAGUAACUGUGCACAUCUUGACGGUACCUAAUCAGAAAGCCACGGCUAACUACGUG
rnacentral:rRNA from 1 species